AUUCUGCCCAUGCGGGGAAGGAUGAGAAGCUUCGACCAAGGUUCGACUCGAGCGCCAGCGAGAGAGCGUUGCCGCAGGCAACGACCCGAAGGGCGAAGCGCGCAGCGCUGAGUGCGUCACCCUGAACUGAGU
rnacentral:sRNA from 1 species